UACGUAGGGGGCAAGCGUUGUCCGGAAUCAUUGGGCGUAAAGCGCGCGUAGGCGGCCCGGUAAGUCCGCUGUAAAAGUCCAGGGCUCAACCCUGGAAAGCCGGUGGAUACUGUCGGGCUAGAGUCCGGAAGAGGCGAGUGGAAUUCCUGGUGUAGCGGUGGAAUGCGCAGAUAUCAGGAGGAACACCAACGGCGAAGGCAGCUCGCUGGGACGGUACUGACGCUAAGGCGCGAAAGCGUGGGGAGCGAACAGG
rnacentral:rRNA from 1 species